CAGUCCGUGGGACCCCCAAGUUGGGGGGCUGGAGUGGGGCCGGCCGUGGCUGCCCCACACUUGGGGGGCUGGAGUGGGUCAGGCCGGCCGUGGGUCCCGCCGUGGGUCCCGCCGUGGGGCUCGCUGUGGGGCUCGCUGUGGGGCUGGCCAUGGGUCCCGCUGUGGGUCUCUCUGUGGGUCUUGUUAUGGGGCUGGCCAGAGGUCCCGCCGUGGGUCCCGCUAUGGGUCACGCCGUGGGUCUCGCCGUGGGUCCCGCUAUGGGUCCGGCCGCCCUCACCCCACAGCUCCCUCCGUGGGUCACCCCCAGCCCCACUUAUGGGGCAGCCGUGGGGCUGGGCGCCGGGAGGGAGCCGAGGGGCGAGGAGGGGGCCACGGGACCGCCACGGGACCACCACGGGACCGCCAUGGGGCCGCUGUGGGGCAGCCGUGGGGCAGCCGUGGGGCAGCCGUGGGGCAGCCGUGGGUCACUGUGGGGCGGGGGUCGGCGCCGUGGGGCUGAGCUCGGCCGAGAGCGCGUCGAAGGCCUGCAGCAUGGCGCCGCGCACCCGCUCCGUCAGCGCCGGGACGUCCGCGGGGCCCAGCCCCUGCGUGGGCAGCGGGGGCAGCACCUGGAUCACGCACUGCCCUAGAGAUAGG
rnacentral:lncRNA from 1 species